rnacentral:rRNA from 1 species
UACGUAGGGCGCAAGCGUUGUCCGGAAUUAUUGGGCGUAAAGAGCUCGUAGGCGGUUUUGUCGCGUCUGCUGUGAAAGACCGGGGCUCAACUCCGGUUCUGCAGUGGGUACGGGCAGACUAGAGUGCAGUAGGGGAGACUGGAAUUCCUGGUGUAGCGGUGAAAUGCGCAGAUAUCAGGAGGAACACCGAUGGCGAAGGCAGGUCUCUGGGCUGUAACUGACGUGGAGGAGCGAAAGCAUGGGGGAGCGAACAGG